UUUUAAUUUGCGGGCAUACGGGAGUUUUUUUUGUCGCGCGAAAUAUCGAAAAUACGGCGUUCCUUCGCCUAUAGUGGUGGGCGAAAUAAGUCCGGCGUGUGUUUCCCGGCGAUAUUAGGCCGAAGAGAUCGGCGUUUGUCACGGCCAUCUCACCGCCGUUUUGCCGCCAAAUCCUAGCUUCGACUGGGUCAAAUUGCAGCCGAAAUCGAAGGCCGGAGGGUUUUCGCUGGACAUCUUAUACGUUCGCAUCACUGCCCGGGUCCCACGAUUUUACGGAGCCGCCACCGGCGGGCAGAAGGAGAGACGGCAACGGCGCCAGGCCGAGAAGUGGAGCGCCUUUCCAGCAAGCCGGAGCGAAGGACCAGCUGCAGCAGCAGGAAAGCGACCGCCCUAAGCCGGGACCACCAGGAGGGAUAUAUUAACUAAUCAAAAUGCAGCCUAAGUAGACAUUAAAGUGAGGUUAGAGUGAAUGGAAAAUUUUGUUUGCUUGAUUGGCAGUCCAGAAUGCCCGAAACUAAAUUAAAUCAAAGUUAAAUCGAUCAAAAUUUCUAAUUAUACGCAAAAAAAAUGCUGAAAGUCAGACCUAACCUUACUAGAGAGUAUUAAUCCAACCGGAUCGCCAUCCUGAACAUAGAGUGGCAGAAAUUAAAAUUUUUUUUCUAUGUAGUUUAAGUUUAACGUUAAGCUAUAAGAAUAUGUACUCGAGUAGGAAACUCGGCCAUGCGGUUUAAUGAUUUUUCUUGGAUUUAAAUUGAAUUCUUAUUAGUGAUUAAAAUUUUUAUAUAGUAAGUGAUCUAACCUAAGCUAAUUAAAUUUUUUUUUUUUUUUAGAAGAGUUCCUGUCGCGGAUCGAAUAUUGUUAUCGAUAGGCUAGAUAGUAUUUUUGAGAAGUCCGAAUGUGGAAGGAUUUGUAAGCCCAUAUGUGCCUGGGCACAUUAUUUUUCGCCAUUGUAAAAAGAGCCGGGAAAAUUUAGCUUUCAUUGUCGUGUAAGAGUUGGAGGACACACUGCGAAUAAAACGUGUUCUACUACCACGGAUUAGUCUGCCCUUUCUUUCGGGAACCAAUGUGUGGGGUAGCCGUUUAAGGCAACUCCAAG